rnacentral:rRNA from 1 species
CAAUAGCGUAUAUUUAAGUUGUUGCAGUUAAAAAGCUCGUAGUUGGAUUUCGGAUGGGAUUUGCCGGUCCGUCGUUACGAUGUGCACUGGCCAGUCCUAUCUUGUUGUCGGGGACUAGCUCCUUGGAUUCACUUCCUGGGACUAGGAGCUGACGAGGUUACUUUGAGUAAAUUAGAGUGUUCAAAGCAAGCCUACGCUCUGAAUACAUUAGCAUGGAAUAACACGAUAGGACUCUGGCUUAUCUUGUUGGUCUGUGAGACCAGAGUAAUGAUUAAGAGGGACAGUCGGGGACAUUCGUAUUUCAUUGUCAGAGGUGAAAUUCUUGGAUUUAUGAAAGACGAACUUCUGCGAAAGCAUUUGCCAAGGAUGUUUUCAUUAA